rnacentral:tRNA from 2 species
GGGCUUGUGGUCUAGUUGGUUAUGACAUCGCCUUUACACGGCGAAGGUCCCCGGUUCGAAUCCGGGCAGGCCCA